rnacentral:miRNA from 1 species
CAGUGCAAUAUUAAAAUGGGCAU